AGCAGCCGCGGUAAUUCCAGCUCCAAUAGCGUAUAUUAAAGUUGUUGCAGUUAAAAAGCUCGUAGUUGAAUUUCGGGAUUGACACAUCGGUCGUGCCUUAAGGGGUAUGAACUGGUGUAGUCAAUUUCUCACCUUCUGGAGAACCGCGAUGCCCUUAAUUGGGUGUCACGGGAAACCAGGACCUUUACUUUGAAAAAUUAGAGUGUUUAAAGCAGGCAUUCUGCUUGAAUACAUUAGCAUGGAAUAAUAAAAUAGGACGGCAUGAUUCUAUUUUGUUGGUUUCUAGGAUCACCGUAAUGAUUAAUAGGGAUAGUUGGGGGCAUUAGUAUUCAAUUGUCAGAGGUGAAAUUCUUGGAUUUAUUGAAGACUAACCACUGCGAAAGCAUUUGCCAAGGAUGUUUUCAUUAAUCAAGAACGAAAGUUAGGGGAUCGAAGACGAUCAGAUA
rnacentral:rRNA from 1 species